rnacentral:sRNA from 1 species
UCUGAGCAUCCGAAGCGCGGCCAGGUAUGCAUCUAGGGCACUGGGGUCCUGGUGGCGCGCCAGUGGGCCCCCUCCCUCCACCCCUGUGACUAAACCACCCUCCCUACACGGUUGAAUGACAAGUUCAACCUUCCCUAAAACCCCCGGUGACGAGUCCAGCCGCGCGCCCAUUCUUCACGCAGGGGCGGGACGGACUUUCAAAGACUUGGAGUUCCCACGGGUGUGGGUUCGAGACCUUCCUCUGCCAGUUCCCAGCUCCGCUACCCUGAGCAAAUGACUUACGCUCCAUUGGAUUUUCCGCAAUGUGGCUGAAGGUGGGGGGCCUACUUCGGGGGACCGGUGGACAGCUGGGCCAGACUGUUGGUCGGCCUUGUGGGGCCCUGGGGCCUGGGCCCCACCGCUGGGGACCAUGUGGAGGUUCUUGGGCCCAAAAGUUUUACCAGGAUGGGCCUGGGAGAGGCCUGGGUGAGGAGGACAUUCGCAGGGCACGGGAGGCCCGUCCCAGGAAGACACCCCGGCCCCAGCUGAGUGACCGCUCUCGAGAACGCAAGGUGCCUGCCUCCCGCAUCAGCCGCUUGGCCAACUUUGGGGGACUGGCUGUGGGCUUGGGGCUAGGAGUACUGGCCGAGAUGGCUAAGAAGUCCAUGCCAGGAGGUCGUCUGCAGUCAGGGGGUGGUUCUGGGCUGGACUCCAGCCCCUUCCUGUCGGAGGCCAAUGCCGAGCGGAUUGUGCAGACCUUAUGUACAGUUCGAGGGGCCGCCCUCAAGGUUGGCCAGAUGCUCAGCAUCCAGGGUACAGCAUGACCCUCGACUCCUGACCCCUGACCUCCCUUCCACCCCAGCCCUACCCACCAACAGGCCCCAACUUCAGAUACUCACACGGGGUCCCUCCUCACCUCUUUGCUUACUUCCCCCCUCGUUCCACUGUCUCCCAAGACAACAGCUUCAUCAGCCCUCAGCUGCAGCGCAUCUUUGAGCGGGUCCGCCAGAGCGCCGACUUCAUGCCCCGCUGGCAGAUGCUGGUGAGUGCCCAGUGGGGGAGGGCGGUGAGGAAGGCAGGCUCCAUCUCCUCUGACCUGCCUGACCUUCCUGGCUUCACUGCCCCUGCCUCUGAGCCUCACUUUCCCCAUCUGUAAAAUGGGGAUCACCAGUGUACACACCUCCUAGCAUUGCUGUGGUGAUUAAAAGAGGGAACAGCAGCCUGACCUCUCUGUGCUUCAGUUCCCUUCCCUGGGAAAUGACGAUAGUGACAGCCACACCCACAUCAUAGGGUCACAUAAAUCAGUUUACACUGAGCACUGAGAACGGCCCCUGAUUCACCGUGAGCAACAUGCAGGUGUUAGCUGUGAUUAUUACUGUUUUUUUAAUUAAAGGAGAUCGUGUCUGUAAUAGGUUGGCACGGCGCCUGGCACCAAGUAAGUGCCCAGGACAUGAGCUGUUCUAAUAACUGGGUAAGGCAUGGAAUCCAGGAUUCCGCCACCCACCUGCUCUCCCAUCCCUGCUCUGCUUAUUCGCCAUGCGGCCCCAGGCAGGUACUGCCUCUCUCUGGGCCACUCUGAAUAGGACCUGGCCCGCAGGAAGCCCAUUGUAAAUUUUAGCUCUUCUUGAUCACAUUAACUGUGAGUUAAUAAUAACAUAUAAGAGCAUAAUAAAGGAUGGUUGGCCACGUGUAAUGGCUCAUGCCUAUAAUCCCAGCACUUUGGGAGGCUGAGGCGGGAGGAUCAUUUGAGCUCAGGACUUCCAGACCACCCUGGGCAACAUAGUGAGACCUUGUCUCUACUAAACAUAAUAACAGUAAUAAUUAGCUGGGCACAGUGGCACGUAUCUGUAGUCCCAGCUAUUCAGGAGGCAGGAGGAUGGCUUGAGCUCGGGAGGUUGAUGCUGCAGUGAGCCAUGAGGGUGCCACUACACUCCAGCCUGGGCUACAGAACAAGACCCUGUCUC